AGCCUUCUGAAUCCCAGCCGAAAUUUCGUCAAACACCAAACCAUCAGAACUGAUGAGACUCCCAAGAUAAGUGAAACG
rnacentral:pre_miRNA from 1 species